AGAGUUUGAUCCUGGCUCAGAGUGAACGCUGGCGGUAGGCCUAACACAUGCAAGUCGAACGGCAGCACAGAGGAGCUUGCUCCUUGGGUGGCGAGUGGCGGACGGGUGAGGAAUACAUCGGAAUCUACUUUUUCGUGGGGGAUAACGUAGGGAAACUUACGCUAAUACCGCAUACGACCUACGGGUGAAAGCAGGGGAUCUUCGGACCUUGCGCGAUUGAAUGAGCCGAUGUCGGAUUAGCUAGUUGGCGGGGUAAAGGCCCACCAAGGCGACGAUCCGUAGCUGGUCUGAGAGGAUGAUCAGCCACACUGGAACUGACACACGGUCCAGACUCCUACGGGAGGCAGCAGUGGGGAAUAUUGGACUAUGGGCGCAAGCCUGAUCCAUCCAUACCGCGUGGGUGAAGAACGCCUUCCGGUUGUAAAGCCCUUUUGUUGGGAAAGAAAUCCAGCCGGCUAAUACCUGGUUGGGAUGACGGAACCCAGAGAAUAAGCACCGGCUAACUUCGUGCAUGCUGCCGCCGUAAUACCAACGGUGCAAGCGUUACUCGGAAUUACUGGGCGUAAAGCGUGCGUACGUAGUUAUUUAAAUCCGAUGUGACAGCGCUGGACUACACCUGGCAACUGCAGUGGAUACUGUAUGACUAGAAUG
rnacentral:rRNA from 1 species